rnacentral:tRNA from 1 species
ACCUCGGUGAUCCAAUGGCUUAGAAUACUCGUAUAGAAUACAAGAGAUCCGGGUUCAAGUCCCGACUGAGGUA